UUUAAACGCGAAGAACCUUACCAAAUCUUGACAUCCUUUGAAAACUCUAGAGAUAGAGCCUUCCCCUUCGGGGGACAAAGUGACAGGUGGUGCAUGGUUGUCGUCAGCUCGUGUCGUGAGAUGUUGGGUUAAGUCCCGCAACGAGCGCAACCCUUAAGCUUAGUUGCCAUCAUUAAGUUGGGCACUCUAGGUUGACUGCCGGUGACAAACCGGAGGAAGGUGGGGAUGACGUCAAAUCAUCAUGCCCCUUAUGAUUUGGGCUACACACGUGCUACAAUGGACAAUACAAAGGGCAGCUAAACCGCGAGGUCAUGCAAAUCCCAUAAAGUUGUUCUCAGUUCGGAUUGUAGUCUGCAACUCGACUACAUGAAGCUGGAAUCGCUAGUAAUCGUAGAUCAGCAUGCUACGGUGAAUACGUUCCCGGGUCUUGUACACACCGA
rnacentral:rRNA from 1 species